GACGAACGCUGGCGGCGUGCCUAAUACAUGCAAGUCGAGCGCAGGAAGCCGACGGAACCCUUCGGGGGGAAGUCGACGGAAUGAGCGGCGGACGGGUGAGUAACACGUGAAGAACCUGCCCUCAGGUCUGGGAUAACCACGAGAAAUCGGGGCUAAUACCGGAUGGGUCAUCGGACCGCAUGGUCCGAGGAUGAAAGGCGCCCCGGCGUCGCCUGGGGAUGGCUUUGCGGUGCAUUAGCUAGUUGGUGGGGUAAUGGCCCACCAAGGCGACGAUGCAUAGCCGACCUGAGAGGGUGAUCGGCCACACUGGGACUGAGACACGGCCCAGACUCCUACGGGAGGCAGCAGUAGGGAAUCUUCCACAAUGGACGAAAGUCUGAUGGAGCAACGCCGCGUGAACGAUGAAGGCCUUCGGGUCGUAAAGUUCUGUUGUAGGGAAGAACAAGUGCCGCAGGCAAUGGCGGCACCUUGACGGUACCUUGCGAGAAAGCCACGGCUAACUACGUGCCAGCCGCCGCAGUAACAC
rnacentral:rRNA from 1 species